rnacentral:lncRNA from 1 species
ACUUUGCAUUCAAGGAUUACUUCAAGAGGAUGUUCAACUUCAAGAAGGACAAGGAUGGUUACUGGAAGUGGUUCGGUGGCAACCUUGCUUCUGGUGGUGCUGCUGGUGCUUCCUCGCUCUUCUUCGUGUACUCCCUGGACUAUGCUAGGACAAGGCUGGCCAAUGACGCAAAGGCAUCCAAGGGUGGAGGUGACAGGCAAUUCAAUGGCCUGGUUGAUGUCUACCGCAAGACUCUCAAGUCAGAUGGUAUUGCUGGGCUUUACCGUGGAUUCAACAUCUCUUGUGUUGGAAUCAUUGUCUACCGUGGUCUGUACUUUGGACUGUAUGAUUCUCUGAAGCCCGUUCUCCUCACUGGCACUCUCCAGGUUUGUUCUAGUACCUUGCCACAUUCCAUUCUAUUGUCAAAUUUCUCUGUUUGUGUGACAGCCACUGACAUCCUUGAUCACCAUUCACCUGUUUGCAGGACAACUUCUUUGCCAGCUUUGCUCUUGGUUGGUUGAUCACCAACGGUGCCGGUCUUGCAUCUUACCCCAUUGACACCGUCCGCAGAAGGAUGAUGAUGACCUCCGGAGAGGCUGUCAAGUACAAGAGCUCCUUGGAUGCUUUCCAGCAGAUCCUGGCGAAGGAGGGUGCCAAGUCUCUCUUCAAGGGUGCUGGUGCCAACAUCCUCCGUGCCAUUGCUGGUGCUGGUGUGCUCUCCGGCUACGAUCAGCUCCAGAUCCUCUUCUUCGGCAAGAAGUACGGCUCAGGCGGUGCCUAGAGGGGAAGAAAUGAUGACGAACAAGAGAAGUCUGUUCCCAGUCCUGCCCUUCAAGGAUCUGGCGAACUUUUAUCUUUUUAACGUUGGAAGGCAAUAAUUUCUGUAGAGGGUGGAUUUUCCCAACAUUCGUUUUUGGUGGAGGCAUCGAACUCCAGAGGUUGUCGUAGGUUGGCGGCAGCGUUCUCAAAACAUUUACUAUCAUAGGGGUUGAGUUUGAGUUCGAGUAUGUGCCCUGAAUCGUUACUGGGCAAUUUUCCUUAAAUACAUUGUCCUCCAAUCCUACUGAGAUUAUUAUGGUCCAAGUUUAUGCUGUUGGUCUUGACAUCCUAUUUCUGUUUGCAUUUUUAGUUUAUGCUGUUGCUUUGCCUGUUCAUAAUUCUUAUUGAUUUGCCUGUGAUUCUUGUUUUACUUGCUUUGUCUGUGAGAUUCUGAUUCGUGUUAGUACACUGCCUCAGUUCCGAAAUGUAGUAGUGCGUAGCCAAACAUCACAAACUUUGAUCAAAUUUGCGCAACAUUUACAUCGUAUCAUUAACAAUAAUAAGUAUUUUCAUGUUAAAUAUAUUUCGUGUUGUAAGUAUAAAUAGUUUUAAAGUUCUGGAAAUUUUUGACUUUAAAAAAAAAUAUGCUUUUGUUGGUUUUCUCUCUUCCUGUUCUCCCUUUACAUUUGAAUAUCUCUUGCGAAAACAAGACGUGUACCAUCAUCUUUUGCUUCUCUACGCCAUAAGUGAUUUGAAAAUGACCCAUCUAAGGUUUGAAUUCUAUGGUAGUUUGAUUCCCAGGAUUGGAAUCCUACGGGAUUUGUUCACAAGGAACAUCAGUUUUUCUGUGACACAAUCAAACAAACUUGAACAUAUUAAGGAUUGAAUCAUUUGUAGAAAAUCUAGCAGCCACUUCAACCUUGAAAGAAAAUCAUAUGUUUUUCAGUGUUUUUUGUGACACCAUCAAACAAACUCAAAUCUCCAUUCCUUUCCUAGUGUAUUUUUUUUGUUCUUGUUUCCAAAAUUUGCAUUUCGUGACAUACAUCUACGCGACUUGUUAGAGAUUGUUCUAUAGACGAUGUAGACGAAAAAAUAACGAACUUCUGCAUCUCUGAGGUCUAAAAGAACUUUUCUAGUAGAUGAUGCAGAUGUAAAAAAAUAUAUAUCUCCGCCUUUCGAAGAUAUAAAUUAAAAUACUUCACAGUGCAAAUAUACAUCGUUCACCUAUAGGAAAUGUAAAAACAAAGACCGCACGCUAACUGUCCAAUAGAUUUCAUUUUUCUUUUGUUCGCCCGCCCGACGUUCGGGCCAUGGCCGACCUCGUCGCCUCCUCCGCCGCAGCCGCUCAUCUGCUGGGGCCUUCGCUGACACGACUACCGUCGGUUAUCCGUCGUCGCCCUGGUUUUGCCCUACCCCAGCCGAUCGCCGUUGCGGUUGCUGUCCCAUUGCCAGAUCUGACCGCUCCAUCGCCACCGCCUCCGGUUCGUCGCUGCCUGCCCAAAUCGGCCUAAUUGACCGCUUCUCCGCCGUCGAAUCACCGCCGUGCUGCUGAUCUGAGCUCCCCUCGCUGCCCCCAGGUUCGAGCCGCACACACGCCGCCCCUCCGACGCUCCUCUCUCUGCCUCGAAUUGCCGCUCCUCCGCUGCUGCACUGCCGCUGCUUCGCCGCCCUGAUUCGCGUUGCCGCCGUCCCGAUUCACCACCCCCGCCGCCCCUCCGCCACCCCACCACUGCCCAGACGCAGCCACCCCGAAUCGUGCCGCGCCGCCGCCGUCCCCACUGCCGCCGCCGAUUAAUUUUUACAUUUGCAGUUUGCAUUUUCUAUUGGAGUUGCUCUUUUAUAUCUCCGUUUUGCAUCAUCUGCUGGAGUUGGCGUUUUUUCAAAGAUGCAAAAAACACUUUUUAAAGAUAUAAAUCUCGUGUUUUACAUCUUUAAAUUUACAUAUUUUAUUGGAGAUGCUCUAAGCGGACCGAACCAAGGACUUCACUUACGAAACGAUGAAAAAUUGUGCAGCGGGUGCCAUGGUGGAGAACACUUUGUCGCUGGUGCAGGUGUAAGACCGUGAACAAUCUGACGAGCGCGGCUUCAGCUACUAGACGAUGAGAGGAUAUCCAACGACCAGCCUGCCAAGAGGCCAACGCCCGCCACACGCUCCCACCCUGACCUCGGCGCCGCCCGGCCGACCCGAAUGGCGACUCUCUCCGCCCCCUUGCUCCGUUCCCACCACCGUCACCUCCCCGUCCGCUCCUCGCCGCGCCGCUGCCCUUCCGCCGCCUUCCCGCGCGGGUUCGCUCCCCUCGAACCCCUCUCCUCCCGCGGGCCCUCACGCACCGCCGUCCGCUCCGCCUCGACCUCGGCAGCGGCACCGGAGGCCGCCGAGGCAACGGGAGGCGCGGCCCCGAGCGAAACGGCAGCGGAGGAGGAGGUGGUGGAGGCGCGCGUCGUGCUCCCCACCAACGAGUCCUCCGAGAACCUGCUGCGCAUCCGCCACACCGUACUGCUCCUGCCCUCCAUUUCCCUUCUUCCUCCGUGCUUCUACUGCCAUAAUUGCAGCUGUUUCAGCCAUUCAGUUUCUUAUCGUUCGAUGCGUGUUGCUGACUUGAUGUUGGCUGAUUUUGUGUUCAGUUAGUCAGCUUUGUUACUGUCCCCAACUGUAGCAGUGUUGGUUAAUUUCUGUUGCAUGGUUGCUCGCUGUUGCAGUGUGCCCAUGUCAUGGCGAUGGCCGUCCAGAAGCUGUUCCCCAACUCCAAAGUGACCAUAGGCCCCUGGAUAGACAAUGGCUUCUACUACGACUUCGACAUGGAGCCCCUCACGGAUAAGGACCUCAAGAAGAUCAAGAAGGAGAUGGUGAGCAUACAUUGGUUACAUUUGAUCACAGAUUGGAUUUCUGAGUGUCGAGCGAGGGAUUUAACUUGUUUACCAUGGUAUGUUGGUAGGACCGAAUCAUUCGCCGGAACCUUCCAUUGGUGAGGGAGGAGGUGUCCAGGGAAGAGGCUCAAAAGAGGAUCCAAGCGCUUAACGAGCCAUAUAAGCUGGAGAUUUUGGAGAGAAUUAAGGAAGAACCCAUCACAAUUUAUCACAUUGGUAAAUAUUAUAGUUUGGUAUCAGCUUACUUCUCCGAUGCUUGUUAUUUGCUAUUACUGAAUACUGAUCGGUGGAUUUUAUGUACUUGCUGCUGUGUCAUGCAGGAGAAGAGUGGUGGGAUCUGUGUGCUGGCCCUCAUGUUGAGUCCACUGGCAAGAUACAGAGAAAGGCUGUUGAGCUCGAGUCUGUUGCUGGUGCUUACUGGAGAGGUGAUGAGAAUAAUCAAAUGCUACAAAGGAUAUAUGGGACUGCAUGGGAGAGUGAAGAUCAAUUGAAGGCUUACAUCCACUUCAAGGAGGAGGCCAAGCGCAGAGACCAUCGGCGACUAGGUCAGGACCUUGAUCUGUUCUCUAUACAGGUAUGAUCUUACAUUCUUACUUCUAACAUUUACUUAAGAAACCAUCUGAGUAAUCCCUUAGUAAUUGAAGCAUAGCCUCAAGUUUCCUAGUGUCCGACAGUAUUGGACUUCACCAUUUUGUUGACCCCUAAAAGUUCAAUGGCAUCAUGCUAGCAUUCAUGCUUGCAAGGAAGUGACCACCAGAUCCAACCAAAGUAAUUAAAUGAUAUUACCACACCAUGUGAUAUGAAGUGAUCCCUUCGCUCUGUCUGGCCUAGCAGUGGGUCUUAUUUUGACAACACAUCUGCAUUCACAGAUAUUUGCUGUCACUGUCAAUUCUAUAUCAAUUUUAUUACUUUGGCAUUGGCAUCCAGACCCGACCUCUGUAAAUACCUUGCUAUCUGUGCGUAUGUGGUAUUCUGUUUUUGGUAAUAGUGACUGUAGCCAAUCAACUUUUAACAGGAAGAUGCUGGUGGGGGUUUAGUAUUCUGGCAUCCAAAAGGUGCUAUCAUCAGACACAUUUUAGAAGAUUCGUGGAAACAAACUCACCUGCAACGUGGUUAUGAUCUAUUGUACACUCCACAUGUUGCGAAGGCUGAUCUCUGGAAGAUCAGUGGACAUAUAGAUUUCUACAAAGAGAAUAUGUACAACCAAAUGGAUGUAGAAGAUGAGCCAUAUCAACUUCGGCCCAUGAAUUGCCCUUACCACAUCUUGGUAUACAAGAGAAAGCUACAAUCAUACAGGGAUUUACCCAUCAGAGUGGCAGAGCUUGGAACUGUCUACAGAUACGAGCUCUCUGGUGCUCUGCACGGGCUGUUCCGCGUAAGAGGGUUCACACAGGUAUUUCCUUGAUUCCGAAUUUGAUUUUGUCUAAUUGCAUGACGAUGUUUUCCUGUAUUCUGCAACCACCAGAUAAAUAUUGAACGUUAUGCAAGGUUUUGUGUUUUCUGAGAUGACAUAUGAUUUGUUGUACUUAGGCAUUUGUUCUUUUCUAGAAGCGUUCUGCAUUUAUUCUUCAUUUUCUCUGGACUAUUUCCCACAUUGUUAUCUUAACUAGCAUGGAUGCUUAAGUAAAGGCAUUGUUCAGUAAUUCCCUAGGUAGACCUUUUCUUGUGCCCUAUUAAGAAAACGUGGAGGCCCCGACUCACAGUUAUGUAUGUUAUAUGAUUUUGUUAAAAUUAUGCCCACUACUCUGACAUUACUAACAUGGGCUGCUCUAGGUGUCUGCAACAAGUUUUAGACCAUAAAAAUAUCUGUCAAAUGUUCAUUGUAAAAAUAUAUUAAAAUAUGUUUAUUAUGCAGGAUGAUGCCCACAUAUUUUGUCUCGAAGACCAGAUAAAAGAUGAAAUUAGAGGAGUUCUUGAUUUAACUGAAGAAAUACUGGGGCAGUUUGGCUUCCGGAAUUUUGAGGUAAACCUUUCAACCAGGCCAGAAAAAUCUGUUGGCAGUGAGGACAUAUGGGAAAAGGCAACAAUUGCUCUGAAAGACGCACUAGAUGAUAAAGGAUGGGGAUACACGGUUGAUGAAGGGGGAGGUGCUUUCUAUGGUCCAAAAAUUGAUUUGAAAAUUGAGGACGCUCUUGGAAGAAAAUGGCAAUGUUCCACCGUGCAGGUAAGUUAUAUUUUUUUCUACAAAGAAUAAGCAAAUUCGUGGAUUUUCUUCGAGGGAAAAGGGCAUAUAACAUCAUUCGUUUUUCAUAUAUUUUAGGUUGACUUCAAUUUGCCUGAACGGUUUGACAUCACUUAUAUUGACUCGCAUACUGAGAAGAAACGGCCUAUCAUGAUUCAUAGAGCCAUCCUUGGGUCUUUGGAGCGAUUUUUUGGCAUCCUCAUUGAAAACUACGCUGGUGAUUUUCCACUUUGGCUUGCUCCAACCCAAGCCCGUAUUCUGCCUGUCACAAACAAUGAGGUUUGCUCCCUCUACCUUGCAUUAGUUUCACUUGUUAAACCAAUAUUUUUACCUUGUACUGUAGUAGAUUUGUGCGAAGUAAAGAAGGUACUACUACUUUAUAUCUAGGUGACCCUAGGCAGGACAACAACAUACUUUUAUUUGUUAUUUGCAUGGCACACACAUAUCAGAUGCUUGAUUUUUGUUAGCAUCACUGACGAAUCCAUGACAUGUUUCAAAAUUUCAGUUGCAGUACUGUAAUGAGGUGGCUUCAGAGCUGAAAUCGAGAGGUAUCCGCGCCGAGGUAUGCCACGGCGAACGUCUGCCGAAGUUAAUCAGAAACGCCGAAACACAAAAGGUGCCGCUCAUGGCGGUCGUUGGCCCCAAAGAAGUCGAGGCCAGGACGCUCACCAUCAGGUCCCGGCAUAACGGGGAGAUGGGCACCAUGCCCGUCGACGAUUUCAUCAGCAAAAUCCAAUCGGCCGUUGCUGACAAAUCUUCCCUGUAGAUAUCCCAGUCUGUUAAAACUUCAGUUCAUAUCGUAGAGCAGUAGAUCUUCUGCUGCACAUACACCGUACAGCGCCCACCGGAGUGCUUCCGACGAAACCGAGCGACGGAGGUCCAACAAUUUUGUGCAGAAUUGCCAUCACGACACACUAUAUAGUCAGCAACAGAAGCCCAGCAUUCUUGAUUGUACAUAGUUUGUGACCAGACCACAUUUCAGUGCAAGUUUUCAGCUAGACCUUCUUGCAGCUCCUUAUACAAUCACGUCGAUAAUAUUACAGAAAUGAUGCGACUGCAAUCUGCACUGCACCUGCACAUCAUUGGCAUUUCAUGAAUCUCCAGGCAGCGGUGAUCUUGAUUAGACGGGCGAAACCCAGCAGGAUGGAUGCGCGGGCGCAUUUGCCGCGACGUUUGCCUGGUCGGCAGACAAACUGUAAUGGCCACUUGCCGCUGCAGAGCGAGCAAUUGUGUGCGGUGCUGAGUCGUUAAGUCGUGCCGCCGAGAUGAAUUGGUCUGUCUGCGCCUGUGAGGCGGGGGGCCCCGACCCGAUUGAUUGGGGCGUCACUCGCUGCGGGUGGGAGGGCGUUGUGCGGAUCUAUGAUUGGAGCGUGAUGGACGGACCGAAUUUUACCGGGCAAGUCCGACAACACCUGGGACAAAAACCUGCAGGCUGGAGGACACUGGGAUAGGUAACUUCUCCACCCCAGUCCCAGAUCAGAUCUUCACUUACCCCGCGGCGUCCGUAAAAGAUCCAGCGGCAGCAUAAAAGUGGUGGGACCACGUAGCAGAGGAGCGCAUGCUCAUACACACAAGAAAUAACUCAAUUUUACAGAGCCGUCAUCUUCCUGGGUGGAAAAGAUGGAGAAACGUGAAUUACCUCUAGAGAUAAGAGGUAAAGCCUUUUCAGCUAUUUGUAAUUCGCGAUUUAAUCAUGAGGCGCUGCACUUCUAAUGUCAGGAUUGCUAAAGGGAAAAUUAAUUGCGUAAGAAAUGAAGAGACCGUAGAUCUUUAGACAGAAAGGCAUUCUUCCUUGUAGUAUUAAAUAAAUCAAAAGCCCACAUCGAAUUGAGCAAGUUUGCUUGGUUUGCCAGCUUACAAAUUAUGCGCGGCACCGUUUUUCGGUUGCAUUCACAGCAAUGCUUUUCUUUUUCUUUUUGAGAAACACAGCAAUGAUCCGUGAGAUACGGAAAAGAAAAAGGCCCAUUAAUCUGCACUAACUCGACUACAUCUUUUUUUUAGCAGGAACUCGGCUCUAUCUACGAGCAGGGGUUCUCAGUUCUCACACAUGAUCGACAAUAAAACGCCCCAACUAACGCUGGUGGUACAGUUGUACCAGCGCGCGCCGUGCCGUGCCGCGAGCGGGAGGGCUUCUUCCGUCGUGACCAUCACGUCGCCUCCACCACUCCCCUGGUCUCCUCCCUCCCUCCACCACCACCCUCGCCCGCAGAGGAAUUAAAACCUCCUUAUCCUCUCUGGCGCGCUGCUGCCAUUGCACCCCUAGCUGCCUGGAUCCAACCGUCCCGUCCCUCGCCCCUUCCCUCUCUGAUCCGUGCGCUCUCCUUUUGGAGCCUUGCGCCGCGCCCCUUUCUCCCUGUCCCAAUCCGCUUCGACGUCCCUCCUCUACCGGCGCGUUCUCUCCUUUUGGUGCCCCCCAGCGAGCGAGCUCUCGGUGCCCGUGCCACCGCCCCUUUUGCCACGCUCUCCUCUUUUUGUCUCCACCUUCUUGGCUAGCCGUUGAAGGGGCAGCCAUUGUUGCGCAGCCGGUGAGGUGAGCUGAGGAGGAUGUCGUCCGCGGUGGAAGCCAUCUCCUGCUCCAAGGUCGCCGACAUCGCCGCGGCCGGGCCUGCGGAGGCCAAGGAGUGCGCGGCGGCGGUGGCGGAGCACGGCAACGGCAACGGCGGGGCCGGGGACGCCGCGGCGACGAACGGGAAGAAGUGCGGCGGCGACGUCGCGGCGCCGCCGCAUUGCGGCAAGGGCGUGGAGGAGGAGGAGGACGAGGACGGCGAGAAGGUCCCCGAGCACAUCGACCUCGGCCCUAUCCUCAGCAUCAAGGACCAGCUCGAGAAGGACAAGGUAACAUGUCAGCAUGCGCCGCAUUCUCGUGCCUGAAUUCUUCUAGCUGCCUGCCGUCGACCGAUGGAUGGAUCGAUUGAUGCGUCUCCUUUCUCCAUGACAUUGUGCAGGACGACGAGAGCCUGAGGAGGUGGAAGGAGCAGCUGCUCGGCAGCGUGGAUUUGAACUCCGUGGGAGGUAAACCUCUGCAACCAUGCAAGAACUUCUCGUCCGGGCAGAUCGAUAAUUGCUCGCGUUCAAUUUGCCCCGUCCUCGUGAACCCUGCGUAAUGGCGGGCAACACCACCAGUACCAGUACGUGUACGUAGGACACCGGCACUUGCGCAGUUUGGCAUGUGAGCACCGCCGUGUUCCGUCGUCAACACGCACUGCCCCGUGAACCCAUCCGUUGCUUUCCGUGCUUAAUUAUAGAGCGUUUUCACGACUCCGUCUGUGCACCGGCCGGCCGGCCGGCCGUAGUGGUACUACUCAACAGUAGAACUGGAGCGGGGAAAAUUUUAAAAGGUGGUGGGCUCCGUUGGCUAGGUCGUCCGGCCUUGUCCUUCCGUGCUAAUCAUUUCGUAGGGAAAAAACAGACACAUGGAGCCCCCCGUUUUCUCGAAUGCACUGGUCUGGUCGGUCCCCGUACGUUGCCGUGCAUGGUUGAACUAUUGUGCCUUCGCCAUUGACGAUAUGCGUUCAGAGUUUUCAGACUUCAGAUACAGGGUAGUAGUACUGAUCGUAGUGCCUUCUUGCUGCCCUGAAAGUGAUGCAUCCCGGGAAUAAUGCAUGAUUUGUCGUGGUGAUAGCCAAGUCUUUGUGACUUUUGGUCCGAUUAUGCCCAACACGUCUUUGCAGGGCAUAAUUGAUGGGAGGCAGCCUUGUUUGUCUGACAUAACAGCAUAAACCGUUAAGCACGUUGUUCAUGUUUUUAGGAAGGCAUUUCUAACAUCAGAAUUUAGAAUUCAAAACGAUCCGUUAUUUGAUGGGAGAUUUCGAUGUGAGAUUUGAAUGCACGGUGAUUGAUUGAUUGACUGGUGCAGAGACGCUGGAGCCGGACGUGAAGAUCAUGAGCCUGUCCAUCCAGUCCCCGGGGCGGCCGGACAUCUUCCUGCCGCUGCCGGUGGAGCCCACCAGCGGCAAGGGGGUGUGGUUCACCCUCAAGGAGGGCUCCCCGUACAAGCUCAAGUUCACCUUCUCCGUCAGCAACAACAUCGUCUCCGGCCUCCGCUACACCAACACCGUCUGGAAGACCGGCAUCAAAGGUACUAGUAGUAAAAACGAAUGAAACCGAUUCACCAAUUCUCUGCUUGCAGUUAACGAAUCGUGAUGGUUUUGCUGGUGCAGUUGACAGCACAAAGGAGAUGCUGGGCACGUUCAGCCCGCAGCCGGAGCCGUACGCGUACGUGACGCCGGAGGAGACCACGCCGUCCGGGAUGUUUGCCCGGGGAUCCUACUCUGCCAAGACCAAGGUCGGUAAUCAAACGAUGAUCGAGUUUAAUUGUUCAGAGAUGCACUGCAGGAUUCAGAGGUCUGACGGUUCGACGUUUCUCUCUAUCUUUGGCAGUUCCUGGACGACGACCGGAAGUGCUACCUGCAGAUCAACUACACCUUCGACAUACGCCGGGAGUGGCCGUCGUCAAGCUGAGCCUUCGUCCAGUCCGGUCCGCCGCCGUGUACAAGUGAGACGUGCCUGCCUGCCUGCCUUGGUUACUACUGCUGCCGUUGAAGCAGACUGGUCUUUGUUUCGUUUGCGUUUUACUACUACCUGUUUUUUCGUGGUUGCCCUUAGGGCUAUUGUCUCCUGUGCGUCUGUGUAAAUUUGGUUCGGUUGAUUGUACGUCGUAGAGGCCAUUCGUCUGUCCGCGUGUGUGUUUGAGCUUUGCCAGGGUCUGUUUUGAAGAACGAACUGUCAUGUUGAGUUCAUGUAUAAUGCACCAGAGCAACGCGGCUGCGCGCACUUCGUGUAAUGCUCAAGAAAGAAAGAAUAUCUGCCACUCACAUUCUGAAGGUUGGGAUUCAUCUUCUGACCUGCGACUUUUGUUUGUCAUGUGUAAGUUGCCGAUUGCCUAACUUCCACAUGGACAUGGUGGUGCGCAGCGCACACCGGAGACCGGCCGGAUUGUGUGCCUGACGGAAGGGAUUUCGGGCCGGCCGCCGGAAAGCCGAGAGCGACGAGGCAAUGCCCGGGUCGUCGCCUGUGGGUGGCUGUAGCGCGACGAUUCUCCGCAACUUGGUAAAAUGGGUGCCCGGCUGUUCCUUGUUACUACUUCCAUCGGCCACUACCACAGGAAACUCGAGAUCGGCGUGGAGGUGCUCGCCCUCGCCAUGCGAUUCCCGGUGUGGGAAAUCGGACGAACUUUGUGGCAUGUUCGUUUUGGCACCUCUCCCUCCUCUGCUCGGCUAGUAUAAUGGUCUAUAGCUGGCCAAACGGGCCGGGCCAAUCAGGCCAGCGCACGAUCACGCCGGCACGGCCUGCUCGUCGUGCCUGGCACGCAGCACAACUUGGGUCAUGCCUGGGCCUAGAGACUGGGCCUGACACGCGGGCCGGCACGGCAUGGCCCGUUUAGUAUUUUUAUUUUUUUCAGAAAUUUACAUAUACAUAAUAUGACCUAAAUUACAGCACAAUAAGCUUAAAAUACAGUCCAAUAGGCUGAAACAUAUGUGGCCUAGUGUGCUAAACGUGCCACGGGUCGGCCUGUUUAAUAACCAGACCGUGCCUAGGCCGAGGAGUGGCACACGUGGGCCGGCCCGGCCCGGCUACUAAACGUGCCAGCUCUGUAAUGGUGCUCUUGGUUAUAGCGAUCACACUGGCGCACAUUGGACUGUUUUGCUAAAGCACGUCCUUCGCCUCCAGCUGAAUCUCUGGAUCGAUAGCUCCAUGAGGCGAGCACCCCUAUUCCCCGCCUACAGCGAGUGUAACUCGUGACUCGCUUAAGGGGGCGAGCAAUAUACCCACGCGCAAGUGAGGCUGAAGCCUGUUUUUCUGUGUUUUUACAAUUUCUGUUUCUGUUUUUGUUUUAUUUUGUAUUUUGUUUAUACAUUAAAAUACUUUAAAUAUAUAUGUACAAAACUGCACUUUAAAAACACAUAAAAAAUAUUUAAAAAAUGUUGAAUAAAUAUUAGAAAUCUUAAAAAAGAUUUUGAAAAUGUUGAAUAAUUAUUAAAUAAUUUUCAACGAGUACAUGAAAAAUGAUGAACAAGUAUUUGAAAAUGUUGACUAUUGAUAAUGUUGAAACAUUAUUUAAAAAUGUUGAAUACGUACUAAAAAUGUUAAACAAGUAUUUGAAAAAUAUUGAAUAAUUAUUAAAUAAUUUUGAGCCAGUAUUUGAAAAUGUUGAACAAUUAUAUGAAAAGUGUUCAAUAAGUAUUAAAAAAUGUUGAAAUAGUAUUUGAAAAAUCUUGAAUAAGUAUUAAAAAUGUUAAACAAAUAUUUGAAAAAUAUUGAAUAAUUAUUAAACAAUUUUGAGAGAGUAUAUGAAAAAUUGUGAACAAAUAUUUGAAAAUGUUGAAUAAGUAUUUAAAAUGUUGUACCAUUAUUUGAAAAAUACUGAACAUGUAUUUGAAAAAUAUUGAACAAGUAUUUGAAAAAUGUUGGACAAGUAUUUGAUUUUUUUGAACAUGAAUUUUGAAAAAAUAUUGAAUAAGUGUUCGGACAGUGUUGAACGUGUAUACACAGAAUGUUUAUCACUUAUUAGAAAAUGUUUUGGACAUAUACAAAAAAGUAGAGGGAAAACGAAAACAAACAUAAGAAAAAACAAAGAAAUAGAGACAAAAAAACCCCAAAAUAAUGGAGAAGGAAAAAGAGAACCAAACAAAAAUGAAGAAGAAAAAAGAAAAGCAAACCAAAAAACGAGGAAAGCCAUGUCAAAAAAGAAAAACAAAAACCAAAAAAAAA